rnacentral:rRNA from 1 species
UACGGGGGCAGCAGUGAGGAAUAUUGGUCAAUGGACGCAAGUCUGAACCAGCCACGUCGCGUGAAGGAAGACGGCCCUACGGGUUGUAAACUUCUUUUAUACGGGAAUAAAGUGCCCCACGUGUGGGGUUUUGCAUGUACCGUAUGAAUAAGGAUCGGCUAACUCCGUGCCAGCAGCCGCGGUAAUACGGAGGAUCCGAGCGUUAUCCGGAUUUAUUGGGUUUAAAGGGUGCUCAGGCGGGGUAUUAAGUCGGCGGUGAAAUUUUGCAGCUCAACUGUAAAAGUGCCUUCGAAACUGGUAUCCUUGAGUGUGGAUGAGGUAGGCGGAAUUUGUGGUGUAGCGGUGAAAUGCAUAGAUAUCACGAGGAACUCCGAUUGCGCAGGCAGCUUACUAAACCAUAACUGACGCUCAAGCACGAAGGCGUGGGGAUCAAACAGGAUUAGAUACCCUGGUAGUCCACGCAGUAAACGAUGAUUACUGGCUGUUUGCGAUAUACAGUAAGCGGCUGAGCGAAAGCGUUAAGUAAUGCCAGCCUGGGGAGUACGUUCGCAAGAAUGAAACUCAAAGGAAUUGACGG